rnacentral:rRNA from 1 species
GAUGAACGCUGGCGGCGUGCUUAACACAUGCAAGUCGAACGAUGAAAGCGGGAGCUUGCUCCUGCUGGAUUAGUGGCGAACGGGUGAGUAACACGUGAGCAAUCUGCCCCGAACUCUGGGAUAAGCGUUGGAAACGACGUCUAAUACCGGAUACGACGCGCGAAGGCAUCUUCUGCGCGUGGAAAGAAUUUCGGUUCGGGAUGAGCUCGCGGCCUAUCAGCUAGUUGGUGAGGUAACGGCUCACCAAGGCGACGACGGGUAGCCGGCCUGAGAGGGUGACCGGGCACACUGGGACUGAGACACGGCCCAGACUCCUACGGGAGGCAGCAGUGGGGAAUAUUGCACAAUGGGCGAAAGCCUGAUGCAGCAACGCCGCGUGAGGGACGACGGCCUUCGGGUUGUAAACCUCUUUUAGUAGGGAAGAAGCGAAAGUGACGGUACCUGCAGAAAAAGCACCGGCUAACUACGUGCCAGCCGCCGCGGUAAAAC